rnacentral:rRNA from 1 species
GACGAACGCUGGCGGCGUGCUUAACACAUGCAAGUCGAACGGAAAGGCCCUGCUUUUGUGGGGUGCUCGAGUGGCGAACGGGUGAGUAACACGUGAGUAACCUGCCCUUGACUUUGGGAUAACUUCAGGAAACUGGGGCUAAUACCGGAUAGGAGCUCCUGCUGCAUGGUGGGGGUUGGAAAGUUUCGGCGGUUGGGGAUGGACUCGCGGCUUAUCAGCUUGUUGGUGGGGUAGUGGCUUACCAAGGCUUUGACGGGUAGCCGGCCUGAGAGGGUGACCGGCCACAUUGGGACCGAGAUACGGCCCAGACUCCUACAGGAGGCAGCAGUGGGGAAUAUUGCACAAUGGGCGGAAGCCUGAUGCAGCAACGCCGCGUGCGGGAUGACGGCCUUCGGGUUGUAAACCGCUUUCGCCUGUGACGAAGCGUGAGUGACGGUAAUGGGUAAAGAAGCACCGGCUAACUACGUG